rnacentral:lncRNA from 1 species
UUGUCAGAAAUUUCAAGUAUAUGUCAACUUGAAUAAAAUAACUUAAAUUCAAUAAAAACACAUGAAACUAAAACAAACAUGUGUUUGGUCGAAAAUAACCAAACACAUUACAUCAAAAACCCAAAAGAAACAUUACAUUGCUCUUGACAACAAAAAAUAACCAAACAUCACUAACUUCUAGCCACUAAAAUCAGCCCACAAAAUAACAAUAAAAAGCUUUUUCCUUCGUAAUUUAUCCUCCAUCAUAGACACUGCCACUAAAUUGGUUGAUUUCAUACCCUCUAUUUCUGCCACAAUGUUCUUUAUUUUCACUUUUUCUUGACAAACAACAUCCUCUAUGUCAGCCACCACCUUCUUCAAAUAAUUCCUUUCUACUUCUACACAUUUCAAUGAGUUACAAGUUGCUUAUCACCAUGUCACUGUAGUGGCAUAUUUUGGUUGCGCCAUUUCCGAAUAUCACAUGACGAUUCUUCAUCAAAACGAGGGCAUAUAUAGAAUCUACGUCCAAUAUCUGUAGGAUUUAGCCACAAAAUAAUUAGCAAUCAACCCGCAACCAAAUCGACGAGACGAACCAGAAGCAAUUGAAUUCUCAGACAUGGUGGGCUUAUAUUUUAAAAAUAAUAAUAGCUUUUAUAAGAAAAAGCAAGUUUAGAAGAGUAAUGAAAUUAAAUAAUUACAACCGGGAAGGAGGAAUCAAUUCUGAGGAGGAAGAAAAAUGGGAUCUGCCCUAAUUUAAUGAAGACAAUGGAUUAAAAUGAAAAGGGUAGGUGAAAUAUAUUUGUUUUACCAUGGGUUGUGCCGAAAAAUAGGGCGGGUGGAUAUUUGGGGAGGAUUGUAAGUGACCUGGGGCCACGUG